rnacentral:rRNA from 1 species
AUUGAACGCUGGCGGCAUGCUUUACACAUGCAAGUCGAACGGGCUUGGGGCGUUGCUCCCAAGUUAGUGGCGAACGGUGAGUAAUACAUCGGAACGUACCGUGUAGUGGGGAUAACGUAGCGAAAGUUACGCUAAUACCGCAUACGAUCUACGGAUGAAAGCAGGGGACCUUCGGGCCUUGUGCUAUACGAGCGGCCGAUGUCUGAUUAGCUAGUUGGUGAGGUAAAGGCUCACCAAGGCGACGAUCAGUAGCGGGUCUGAGAGGAUGAUCCGCCACACUGGGACUGAGACACGGCCCAGACUCCUACGGGAGGCAGCAGUGGGGAAUUUUGGACAAUGGGCGAAAGCCUGAUCCAGCCAUGCCGCGUGUCUGAAGAAGGCC